UGAACGCUGGCGGCAGGCUUAACACAUGCAAGUCGAGCGGUAGCAGGGAGAAAGCUUGCUUUCUCCGCUGACGAGCGGCGGACGGGUGAGUAAUGUCUGGGGAUCUGCCUGAUGGAGGGGGAUAACUACUGGAAACGGUAGCUAAUACCGCAUAACGUCGCAAGACCAAAGUGGGGGACCUUCGGGCCUCAUGCCAUCAGAUGAACCCAGAUGGGAUUAGCUAGUAGGUGGGGUAAUGGCUCACCUAGGCGACGAUCCCUAGCUGGUCUGAGAGGAUGACCAGCCACACU
rnacentral:rRNA from 1 species